GCCCCUACAAAGACUCUCUGGCAUAAGGAUUUUGCAUAUACAGGAGGGAUACCUUUCAAUGGAACAGCCCCAAGUUUCAUUGCGCCUCAACUCACUACGCUGCGGUAUUUCCCUUUAUCAGAGGGACCUGAGAAUUGUUACAAUAUCAAGAGAGUCCCCCAUGGCCACUAUUCAGUGAGGAUAUUCUUUGGAAUGAUUGAAGAACCAAGCUUUG
rnacentral:misc_RNA from 1 species